UACGUAGGGGGCUAGCGUUGUCCGGAAUCAUUGGGCGUAAAGAGCGUGUAGGCGGUCCGGUAAGUCCGCUGUGAAAGUCGGGGGCUCAACCCUCGAAUGCCGGUGGAUACUGUCGGGCUAGAGUGCGGAAGAGGCGAGUGGAAUUCCUGGUGUAGCGGUGAAAUGCGCAGAUAUCGGGAGGAACACCAGUGGCGAAGGCGGCACUCUGGGCCGGUACUGACGCUGAGGAGCAAAAGCGUGGGGAGCGAACAGG
rnacentral:rRNA from 1 species